UACGUAGGGUGCAAGCGUUAUCCGGAAUUAUUGGGCGUAAAGAGCUCUUAGGCGGUUUGUCGCGUCUGCUGUGAAAACUGGAGGCUCAACCUCCAGCCUGCAGUGGGUACGGGCAGACUAGAGUGCGGUAGGGGAGAUUGGAAUUCCUGGUGUAGCGGUGAAAUGCGCAGAUAUCAGGAGGAACACCGGUGGCGAAGGCGGGUCUCUGGGCAAUAACUGACGCUGAGGAGCGAAAGCGUGGGGAGCGAACAGG
rnacentral:rRNA from 1 species